rnacentral:rRNA from 1 species
GAUCCCUACGGGAGGCAGCAGUGGGGAAUAUUGCACAAUGGGGGAAACCCUGAUGCAGCAACGCCGCGUGAGUGAGGAAGUAUUUCGGUAUGUAAAGCUCUAUCAGCAGGGAAUAGAAAAGAAGGUACCUGAAAAAGAAGCCCCGGCUAACUACGUGCCAGCAGCCGCGGUAAUACGUAGGGGGCAAGCGUUAUCCGGAUUUACUGGGUGUAAAGGGAGCGUAGACGGAAAGGCAAGUCAGAAGUGAAAGCCCGCAGCUCAACUGCGGGACUGCUUUUGAAACUGUAUGACUAGAUUGCAGGAGG